rnacentral:rRNA from 1 species
UAGGGAAUAUUGCACAAUGGGCGAAAGCCUGAUGCAGCAACGCCGCGUGCGCGAUGACGGCCUUCGGGUUGUAAAGCGCUUUUCGGGGAGAUGAGGAAGGACAGUAUCCCCGGAAUAAGGCUCGGCUAACUACGUGCCAGCAGCCGCGGUAACACGUAGGAGCCAAGCGUUAUCCGAAUUCACUGGGCGUAAAGCGCGUGUAGGCGGCUUGGUAAGUUGGAUGUGAAAGCUCCUGGCUCAACUGGGAGAGGACGUUCAAUACUGCCGGGCUAGAGGGCGACAGAGGGAGGUGGAAUUCCCGGUGUAGUGGUGAAAUGCGUAGAUAUCGGGAGGAACACCAGUGGCGAAAGCGGCCUCCUGGGUCGCACCUGACGCUCAGACGCGAAAGCUAGGGGAGCGAACGGG